rnacentral:rRNA from 1 species
CACUCCUGCGGGAGGCAGCAGUGGGGAAUUUUGGACAAUGGGGGCAACCCUGAUCCAGCAAUGCCGCGUGAGUGAAGAAGGCCUUCGGGUUGUAAAGCUCUUUUGUCAGGGAAGAAACGGUGGUGGCGAAUAACUACUACUAAUGACGGUACCUGAAGAAUAAGCACCGGCUAACUACGUGCCAGCAGCCGCGGUAAUACGUAGGGUGCAAGCGUUAAUCGGAAUUACUGGGCGUAAAGCGUGCGCAGGCGGUUGUGUAAGUCAGAUGUGAAAUCCCCGGGCUCAACCUGGGAAUUGCAUUUGAGACUGCACGGCUAGAGUGUGUCAGAGGGGGGUAGAAUUCCACGUGUAGCAGUGAAAUGCGUAGAUAUGUGGAGGAAUACCGAUGGCGAAGGCAGCCCCCUGGGAUAACACUGACGCUCAUGCACGAAAGCGUGGGGAGCAAACAGGAUUAGAUACCCCGGUAGUCCCAUGAU